CCUACGGGAGGCAGCAGUGAGGAAUAUUGGUCAAUGGACGCAAGUCUGAACCAGCCAUGCCGCGUGCAGGAAGACGGCUCUAUGAGUUGUAAACUGCUUUUGUACGAGGGUAAACGCAGAUACGCGUAUCUUUCUGAAAGUCUCGUACGAAUAAGGAUCGGCUAACUCCGUGCCAGCAGCCGCGGUAAUACGGAGGAUUCAAGCGUUAUACGGAUUUAUUGGGUUUAAAGGGUGCGUAGGCGGUCGGAUAAGUUAGAGGUGAAAUCCCGAGGCUCAACUUCGGAAUUGCCGCUGAUACUGUUCGGAUAGAGAGUAGUUGCGGUAGGCGGAAGGUAUGGUGUAGCGGUGAAAUGCUUAGAGAUCAUACAGAACACCGAUUGCGAAGGCAGCUUACCAAGCUACUUCUGACGUUGAGGCACGAAAGCGUGGGGAGCAAACAGGAUUAGAUACCCGGGUAGUC
rnacentral:rRNA from 1 species